rnacentral:rRNA from 1 species
UACGGAGGGUGCAAGCGUUAUCUGGAUUUACUGGGUUUAAAGGGUGCGUAGAUGGGUCUGUAAGUCAGUGGUGAAAUCUCCGGGCUUAACCCGGAAACUGCCAUUGAUACUAUAGGUCUUGAAUAUCCUGGAGGUGAGCGGAAUAUGUCAUGUAGCGGUGAAAUGCUUAGAUAUGACAUAGAACACCAAUUGCGAAGGCAGCUCACUACGGGAUUAUUGACACUGAGGCACGAAAGCGUGGGGAUCAAACAGG